GGAAGCGAAUAGGGUCUGGUGGCCCUCUCGGACUUCAAAUCCGAUGGACGUCGUCGAAAGGCGGCGUUGCUGGGUUCGAUUCCCAGGCGCUUCCG
rnacentral:tRNA from 1 species